rfam:Sphingomonas mucosissima strain DSM 17494 SPMT_contig000006, whole genome shotgun sequence.
CCUCUUCCAACUUUCGAUCCGCUUCCCUAUAUCGGUCGGGCUCGCGGGGCUUGCCCCACGGCUAUGGCGAUAAACGCCGGUGAAAAAUAGGCACAGCGGACCCGGGGGCAGUACCCGGCGGCUCCACCAUCGCAACUGCUUUCAGCAGUUUCGUUGACGGGGCCGAACCAGGAUCGACGUGUGUUGAAAAGCGCUGGCUUUUGCUCGGAAUGGGACCACCGUGACGGCCUAUACACAAGUGCCAACGAUAACGAAGCACUCGCGAUUGCGGCGUAACCCUAAGGCUUAACGGCCUAAGGUUACUCUAAAAUAGCGCGGUUGGACCGCACCGGGCAACAGAAGCGGAUUCCAGCGGCACGGGGAGCGCCGGGCAACAGAAGCUCCCCACC